CCGUUAGCUUGGUAUAUAAAAGACUUCUCGGCACGCAUCCCAAAUCAUUGCCGAUUCUUGGCGAUCGUCUGUCUAACAGUCAACGUUAAGUAGAUGGUAAAUGUACGUGUAGUUUCGAGGUUGUAGAGAAAUCCCUUCAACUUUUUAGGUGUGUUUCUUGCAAAACAUUAUCCAACUGAUAUUUGAAACAUAACAAAAAAGACAUGGCAGAGGAUGACAAGCCUGAUAUGUCUAAUUUCAGAGUGAUUGUGUUAUUAGCUGUCGAUGAAACGGAAUACUCCGAAUAUGCCUUUAACUGGUACAGAGAUUUUGUACACAGACCAGGGAAUUUUCUUAUUUUACUUCACUGUACAGACCAUGAUUAUCAAUCAAUGCGUGAUGCCAGUCCGGGACAUACAAAAACAAUGAUUGUAGAAUUAACAGAAAAAAUGAAAUUUAUAGAAGACAAAUUUGGUCAACUAAUGAACCAUGCUGGGAUAUCUGGUAGAAUUCAGCGGGGAAGUGGUAAACCAGGGGAGGCUAUCAUUAAAGCAGCUAAUGACGAAGGGGCUAGUAUGAUUGUUACUGGAACACGUGGUCAUGGGAAGAUCAAGCGGACAUUCCUGGGAAGCGUCAG